UCAGCAUUGACUUCGUCCUCUCACGAAACUCUGCCCAAUUAACUGUCGAUCGACGAAAGAGCCAGCAGCCAAUGGCGCCGUCUACCCCUUUGUGUGUGUCAGCGAGCAUCGCCGGGUGGAUCCUUCCCAGCGCCUGAGACCCUUCAGGAACUGGUAAAUAAACCCCCUGUG